AUUGAACGCUGGCGGAAUGCUUUACAUAUGCAAGUCGAACGGCAGCGCGGGUGCUUGCACCUGGCGGCGAGUGGCGAACGGGUGAGUAAUACAUCGGAACGUGCCCAGUAAUGGGGGAUAACUAACCGAAAGGUUGGCUAAUACCGCAUACGCCCUGAGGGGGAAAGCUGGGGAUCGAAAGACCUCGCGUUAUUGGAGCGGCCGAUGUCUGAUUAGCUAGUUGGUAGGGUAAAGGCCUACCAAGGCGACGAUCAGUAGCUGGUCUGAGAGGAUGAUCAGCCACACUGGGACUGAGACACGGCCCAGACUCCUACGGGAGGCAGCAGUGGGGAAUGUUGGACAAGGGGGGAAACCCUGAUCCAGCCAUUCCGCGUGAGUGAAGAAGGCCUUCGGGUUGUAAAGCUCUUUCGGCAGGAACGAAACGCUCUGGACUAAUACUCCGGGGUAAUGACGGUACCUGAAGAAGAAGCACCGGCUAACUCUGUGCCAGCCGCCGCGGUAA
rnacentral:rRNA from 1 species